AUUAUGGCUCAGGAUGAACGCUGGCGGCGUGCCUAACACAUGCAAGUCGAACGGGACUGUUUAGUGAUGAUUUCGGUCUGAACUUUACAGUUUAGUGGCGGACGGGUGAGUAACGCGUGGAUAACCUGCCUUUCACAGGGGGAUAGCAGCUGGAAACGGCUGGUAAUACCGCAUACGCUCUUUACACCGCAUGGUGCAGAGAGGAAAGAUUUAUCGGUGAAAGAUGGAUCCGCGUCUGAUUAGCCAGUUGGCGGGUAACGGCCCACCAAAGCGACGAUCAGUAGCCGGCCUGAGAGGGCGGACGGCCACAUUGGGACUGAGACACGGCCCAGACUCCUACGGGAGGCAGCAGUGGGGGAUAUUGCACAAUGGGCGCAAGCCUGAUGCAGCGACGCCCGCGUGAGUGAAGAAGUAUUUCGGUAUGUAAAGCUCUAUCAGCAGGGAAGAAAGGCCCUUUUAGGGAGAUGACGGUACCUGACUAAGAAGCCCCGGCUAACUACGUGCCAGCAGCGGC
rnacentral:rRNA from 1 species